CUGAAGAAUCUGCUCUGGGAAGGGGCUGCUGCACCUGAUAGUGACCGUCUUUAAUUCUGGCUCUGGUGAUCCCUGCUUGUCAUUUGUGCUUUCUGAUCACUAAAAAGCUUCCUUGCCUGGAAGGAAGCCAUUGACGCGACAAGCAGGCUCUUAUCCAGGGCUUCUUAUCAUCAGCCAGAGGAGCCUGCGCUGGAAAUGAAAUUCCGAGCUGGAAAUGAAAUUCUGAGCCACAACAAGGAAAGACUGCUUCCUUAAUUGAGCCUCUCCCUUUUGAAGUCGUCUCCCCACAGAGCCCGGAGCUGGCAGGUCCUUUGGCCAGCAUAACCCCUAUGUAAUCUCUUGCUCACCAGAAGCAGAUGCUGCACGGAGAGGGAGGCCUUUAUGAAAGGCGUUAAAUAAGGUUUCUCAGCCUUGCACAUGCCGGCCAGGCAGAGGGAGGGCCGUUUUUCAGAAAAGCAACUGAUCAAAGACAUCAAGAUUCUGGCACUUAGGGUUUUCUUGUCAAUACACCUCAGUCAGGAUUCUGAAGUGGGGGUUCUAGCACUCUGAACGUCUUCCCAUUCAGUCUUGCU
ensembl:lincRNA Gm28055 predicted gene 28055